UACGUAGGCAGCAAGCGUUGUUCGGAGUUACUGGGCGUAAAGGGUGUGUAGGCGGUUCUUUAAGUUUGGUGUGAAAUCUCCCGGCUCAACCGGGAGGGUGCGCCGAAUACUGAGGGACUCGAGUGCGGGAGAGGAAAGUGGAAUUCCUGGUGUAGCGGUGAAAUGCGUAGAUAUCAGGAGGAACACCGGUGGUGUAGACGGCUUUCCGGACCGUAACUGACGCUGAGACACGAAAGCGUGGGUAGCAAACAGG
rnacentral:rRNA from 1 species